ACAUCAUAUCUAUCAAACCGUUUAAACAGUAAUCACAAUCCGUUCAGGUUGAUAGCUGUGCCCUUUGUGCUAACUGACUUUUUGACUCCCUGGCAAAUUACCGGAAAUCUGUAUGUCCAUUUUAUGGAUUCAAUCUUUCUCAGAGUGAAUUUACCUUAGAGUUUGCGGGAGAACCAUUAGCCUGAAUUUAUCACCUCAAACCGUGACUCAGAAUUACCAAACACUAGUUUUCCAUGUCGUAACCACACAGACACAGCACCACAAACUCAACUGAAAACAGCCUCAUUUGCACGUGCUCCAACGCCCUGCUGCCAUCACCCUACUGAGAAACUAGUGGGUGGGAUCAGUGGUUGUGAUGACUAAUAAAACACACAAGGAGAGUAGCAUGUGAGGACACGCACUGGAGUGUGGCACAGGACAAACUCCUCCAUAAACAAGGCAGCUCUAUCAAAGGGCCACCCAUCCCUGUCAUAAUGGCCCUCUGAAGAUAUAAAUGUGCCCUGUUCAGACGAGUGAUCAGGCGCCGUUCUAUCAAAUAAUUUAUUCUCCACGGGAGGAGGGACAAGGCCCCCGAGGGUAGAGAGACACAGAGAGAGAGAGCUGCUGGUGUUUUACUCAUCAGACAGCACAGAACAGCCAGGGCUGCGCAGCCUUGAGUGGAACUCUUUUUGCUCUCCAUAAAUGAAGCCUGAGGCUGGUUUGCUGUGAUCAUGCUUGGCCACUGGGUUUGAGCGCUUCAGAAACAUCAUGGGGAUGGUGUGGUGUAAAGCAUUAGCACCAUGGUCCCAGAACAGUGGAAACGGUCACGAGGCCCCUCCAUCCUGCACGUCCUGCAGCAUGGGUGUGUGUGUGGACCGCUGCUGUGACAUCUGCUGCCAGGGCUGUGUGGGCUGCUUUGGUUGCCUGUGCCCCCGUGACUGUCUCUACACAUUCUGUGCCAUGAUUGCCCGCCUUGCCCACUACUGUUCUGUCGGUCAGAAACCAGAGCCGGCCUAUGCCAUGCCUGGAUCACAGAAAUGCUUCAGUGUGGGAGAAGAGGUGUAGAUGCCACUUUGGCCAAGUUGACGGAGACACAGCGGAGACAGAUGGCCCCAAUGGCAGUCCUCCUCACCCAAAUGUUCCAUCAUCUUUCACCUCUGUCUGUAUUGAUUGGGUCACCAUUUGCUUUUGAGUAGAUUGUUAAGCAUUCUGUGCUUAUUAUUUUGUGAUUGUAUUUUUUUUUAUCAUGUAUACCCAUACUAGCAAUGUUUCUGUGCUCGAUAACAAAAGUUAACAAAUGAUGGCAAUUUCAAUAAAGGCGCUGCCACGCAAAUUCAUCCACUUACUCUGUCUACAGUGCACUGCAAAAAUUCAGCUUUUAAAAACAAGCAAAAAAGUUAGAAAAUGGGGGAUAUAUUACUUAAAAUAAGCAAAAUGAUCUGCCAACAGAACAGGAAAAUUUGGCUUACCAAGAUUUAAAAAAGAAAACCCAAAUAUACCUAAACAACUAAAAACAAGUACAUUUGUCUUGAUUCUGACUUUGACAAAGCAGUUUUGUACUUGUCAGCGGUGAUCAAACUAGUUUCAAGCAUUAACUUGCUCAGAACCAGUAAUAAAAUCUCAGUAACAGGUUAUAAUACCGUAUUAAGAUAAUUAAGAACCGAAACGCU
ensembl:lncRNA